rnacentral:rRNA from 1 species
GAUGAACGCUGGCGGCGUGCCUAAUACAUGCAAGUCGAACGAGGUGCUUUUGUAGCAAUACGAGAGUAUCCUAGUGGCGAACGGGUGAGUAACGCGUUGGUGACCUACCCCAAAGUGUGGAAUAACAGUCCGAAAGGAUUGCUAAUACCGCAUGUGGUUAUCGGGCUUAGAAACUGAUAACUAAAGGAGCAAUUCGCUUUGGGAGGGACCUGCGUCCCAUCAGCUAGUUGGUGAGGUAACGGCUCACCAAGGCUACGACGGGUAGGGGACCUGAGAGGGUG